GGCCAUCGAGGAGGCGGGCACUUCGGAGCGGGAAGCCAGGGGCCCUCGGUGAACAAAGACUGGGUGGGAGGCGGAGGCGGCCUGUUCCUCUCCACCCCGCCCCCCAGCGCCUGCUGAGCCGAGACUACAGACAUCGAGGCAGGGGCGGAGGAGCAUGGCUGGGCCCCGCGCGGCGCGGCUGUCCCCGCUGCUGCAACUCGGCAGCCUGGCGCUGGUAGCGGGCAGGGCCCCCGAAGGCCCUCUGCUGUCCCCAACCCCGCCUGGACGUCUGCGUGUAGGGAGCUUGCAGUCCACCUGCCCUCCCCCGCCAGCCCCCUUUCCUAACUCAGGAGAGCAGGAUGAGGUGAAGCUAUCCUCAGGGAGACUCCCAGGCUUGCUGAUAUCCAUGGCUACCAGCAGCAGGCACCUGCCCACUCCUCAGUCACCUGCCCACUCCCUGUUGGGAGCCCCCAGAAACAGUGGCACCCCUUGGAGGAACGGCUGGGGUGGCUGGAGGCUGAGGUGCCCAAGCUCAGAGAGCAGAAUGAGGACCUGCAGGCCAGAGUGAGGCGGCUGGAGUCCUGUGAAUGCCGCCCUGCCUCUGUCCAGUGCUGGGGGCUUGGGCGCGCCUGGCCUGAGGGGUCUUGCUGGGAGCCCAAUGCCUGCACAGCCUGCAUCUGCCAGGACGGGGCAGCACGCUGUGGCCCUCGGCCCGAGCUGCCCCACUGCCAACGUUAGUGCCACCCAAUCUACCCACUGAGCCACUUCAGGGCCUGGAGAUGGUGUUGGGCCUGAGUGCCACACUGUCUCCUCCUCAGGCUGCAGCCACAAUGGUCAGGUCUGUGGUAAUGGGGAGACGUUCUCCCCAGACACCUGCACCUCCUGCCUCUGCCUGGUGAGUUCCCACGCCCUCCCUCCAGCUCCCCAUCACUAGGUGCUGGGACUGGAUAUUGUGUGAUGGGUUCUUGCCCCUGGUGGCCUUGGGCUGAUUCUCUGGGGGUCUGCUGUCUGAAGUGCAACCCCCCCCCAAGCCUCAAGCCCCUUGAUUUUGCCUUGACAAAGAGUGGCAUGGGGGCCAGAGGAUGUAGUUACUAUCUUCUUUCCUCAAACCCUCUCCUGUGUGACGAGCGCUGUUGCCCUCACCCCACCUCAUCUGCUACCUCACAUUUCCACUGCCUGCUUUCUGUCACUUCCUCCAUGGCCUUUUCUCCUGGCCUUUUCUUUCCUACUCCUCCACUGAGAAAGCCCUGGGUUCUCUUCCUAGGAUCUCUCCACUCUGGGGAAGUUGCUGGCACCUGGAGAAGCGGGUUCCAAGGGGUCAAGGGCUUCAGGAAUGGUGGGGUGGAUGGGACAUCUCUUUUCUGCCCUUGGGCUGGGGUAGCAUGUAUGCUGAGCCAGCUCAUCCUCUGCUUCUGGACACAUUCCUGCCUGGGGUGAGUCUGGAGUUCGGAAGGCCCUGCAGUCACCCUAGCUGCUUCCACAGGAAGGGGCCAUCACCUGUACCCAGAAGCCAUGCCCAAGAGCACCCUGCCCUGAGCUGGGAGCAUGCUGCCCACACUGUGAACCAGGUCAGCAUGCUACAGGCCCUGCCCUCCCUCCUGGUUGUGCCCUGGGGGACCUGACAGAGAGAGAGAGCAGAGCUGAAGAAACCCUGUGAUGGUGCCUGGUGAGUGCUGAGCUGAGCUGGAGCCAGCAAAUGCUGACGCUGCCCUGGGAUGCAUCAAAGAUUAUCAGGACCCUGAGGAGCUUCUGGUCUAGUUGAGAAGAUAAAUUUACAGCUAAUCUAUCACAAGAUUUAAGAUCCAAUGAACAGAUUAGGAGAUGUAGAAGACAUGGGCCAGGGAUUUAGCCCAGUGGUUCUGUCGCCUGCCUCGCAAGCACAAGGACCCGAGUUCAAUCCCCGGUACCAAAAAAAAAAAAAAAAGAGAGAUGUAGAAGACAGUGCAUGCUUUCCCAGAGGAAGGAACAGGAGGGCAGGGGACACCCAUCUGAGCAGGUAGGCAGUUAGGAAGGCCUUUGUAGCCCAGGGGUCAUUUGCACUGGAUCUUCAAGGGAAGGUGGGAUUUCUCCAGGAGAAGGAGAACUUGAGGUCCCUCUGAAUAGGAACCAGGCAGGGAGAAAUGUAUUCCAAGAAUCAGUCCAGGAGGGCCAGUGGAAACAGGCUGUGAUAAGCCCUGCAGUUGGGCUUUCUUCUGUGGGCAGUAGGGAACUUUUGAAGGCUGAAGAGCCAGAGUGUGACAUAUUCAAAUAUAAUGUUUAGGAAUAUUCAGCUGGUGUGGGCUGGAUGCAGAGAGACCAGUUGGGGGCUUUUACAGUCCUUGUCUAGGCAUGGAGCCAGAGAUGGUAGGAGGCUGCAAAUAACAAAGUGUUUCUAAAGAAUGUGCAGGGAUUGGUGACUGGUUGGAUCCAUGGAGUAAUGGUGGCCUUUCAUUUAAAAGAAAGACACCCCUUUAAAGGCACUUUAGUCCAAUCUGUUGUAAAAUAAAUACAUCGAGGAGCCAGGUGUGGUGAUGCAUGCCCAUGAUCCCAGCACUCUGGAGGCUAAGGCAGGAGGAUUCCUGUACGUUUAAGGCCAGCCUGGGCUACAUAGUGAGUUCAAGGAUAGCCUUAACUACUUAGCAAGACCUUGUCUCAAAAAAUUAAGAAUAAAUAAAUAAAUACAUUGUUUCCAUCAGUUAGACACUUGACUGUCACCUGCUGGAAAGGUGUAGUAAAUAUAAAACUCUGAUAGCUGGGUCCUGAAUGGUGGCCCUGUGAUGUGGCACCCAGCCCUCUGAGUCCGGUUUUGCAGGCUGCCCUGAGGGCCACAGGUCAGGGGAAACGUGGCAUCCAGAGCCCUGUGUCACUUGCACCUGCCAGGUAAGAGAAUCAGGGCCUCGCCCCGGCUAUCACCUGCAUCCCUGCUGCCCCAGGCCUGAUCCUACCCAUCCUAAUCUGGAGGCCAGGCCAGGCUUCUGCCUCCACCCAGGUGUUGAGGCCUGGAGCCUGCUAGGCCAAAGGCCUGAAGAGUCCUCUGGCUCGGGCAGUGGGGAGGGAGGAGGCGGGGCUGAGUGUCUUGACCCACAGGCAGGGACCGUGCAGUGCCAGGGGCCCUCAUGCUCUGAGCUCAACUGUCUGGAGAGCUACACCCCACCCAGGGAGUGCUGCCCCAUCUGCCGGCCAGGCUGUGAGUAUGAGGGGCGGCUUCACGAAGAGGGGGCCAGCUUCCUGUCCAUCUCCAACCCUUGUCUCCAGUGCUCCUGCCUGAGGAGCCUGGUUCGCUGUGUGCCCAUGAAGUGCCCACCCAGUCCCUGCCCCGAGCCAGUUCUGAGGCCUGGAGACUGCUGCCCAGCCUGCCAAGCCCACCGUACUGGCCUCUUGAUUUGGUUUGAUGGUGAUGGUGGGGAGUAAUGCCAGUCCAAGCCUGCUCUGGAGCUGCAAUGCCCAAGCUCAAAUUCUGCCAUUGCCACUUGGUGGUUGUGUGACUCUAAGUCACUCUGUGCCUCUGUUUCCGCAUUUUAAGGUGCACAUAGUGAUAUUCUAGAUCCCACAAUGCUGUGUAAUAUAUGACCAUUAUUACCUGCUUUUCGCACCCCAACACAGAAGGUGAGGGGAGUGACCUUCAGGGGUGACCACCAGAGGGCGACCCUGAGUCAUACACCAAUACUGUGAAACAAAUGUCACGGUCAGAAAUAAAAGCAGGGGAUAUUCCACUGCUGGGGAUCUUCCCCAAGGAUUAAAGGGAUCAUACCACAGUGAUAGAUGGGCGCCCAUGUUCAUAGCAGCACAGUUUGUGAUAGCUAAAACUUGGAAACAGCCCAAAUGCCCAUCAACUGGAGACUGGAUCAAGAAAAUGUGGGUUUUUUAUAAAAUGGAGUACUGCUCAGCCAUAAAGAAUGAGAAAUUAGAGACAUUUAUAGCUAAAUGGAUGCACAUUGAGGCCAUCCUCUUAAGUGAAAUAAAUAGGACACACAUAUGUAAAUACCGAAUAGUUUCUCUGGUGUGAGAAACUGAAAGUGUAAAUAAGGACUAAAUGUAUAAUAGGUAAUGUGAAAUAGGAAGAAAAGGG
ensembl:lncRNA